CCACCGUGCCCAGCCUUUCUUACAUUUUUAAUAUAGUCUCUUCCUCACUUCUCCCCUCCCAAAGGCAAAAAAAAAAUCUAGGAUGCCUCCAUGAUGGAACUCUGACUGUAGACCAUAGCUGAAGGAGCUCUGGAAAGAAAGCAAAUGUCUGGCAAAAGCCACUCAACCUCUCCCAUAUACCAGGAAAUGAGAACCAAAAGAGAAACAAGAUACUGUGGCAUGGUUAGACAGUGGAAGGGUGUGGUGAGAACGCUUUUCAUAUGACAGGCAGCUCUCAAAAUGCUGCUAUUUUGCUCUUAAAAACCACCGCAAUAUACUGGAAUCCCGGGAAGUGGUGUUGUGAUCUUGGGAUGAUGUGGCAGGGCUGUAAGGACUUAGACCAGUGUUUGCCACGUGGAAAAGUGGGCUCAGUGCUGUUAGAUUUUCUACUUUUUCUCACAGUAGCCUGAAAUUCAGGUUUUGAUGAGAUAAUCUUUAAAAAAAACUCAAACAAACAACCUCCCUGCAAAAACAAACCCAAACUGCAUUUCUGCAGGAGGACAUUAGCCUAUGGGUCCCGCCCACUGGUGUGCCCGAUCUCAGUGUCCAUUGGAUUUUUUAUCCUUCCUUUUCCCUCAGAUGGCCCUUCCCUCAUCUCCCCAUGAACUCUUAUCUCAACCUUUUAAAUGCCACAUCCUUCACAAAUCUUGCUUCAAUCAAGCUCAUUGCAAUGACACUCUCCUCUCAGGUUUACGGGCUCCUUCUUAGAUUAAUUAUAAUAAUAAUAGUGUUUAUUGAUUGAGUGCUUACUAAGCACAGGCAGGCACUGGACACUCUACACACCCUCCCUUCCUUCUGCUUCAUUCCUUUCUCUGCUCACAUUGUCUUCUUCUUCUUUUCAUUUUGAGACAGUCUUGCUCUGUCACCCAGGUUGGAGUGCAAUGCAGUGGCAUGAUCUCUGGUCACCUCGGCCUCCACCUCCCGGGUUCAAGCAAUUCUCUUGCCUAAUCCUCCCAGGUAGCUGAGAUUAAAGGCACGUGCCACCAUGCCUGGCUAUUUUUUAUAUUAUUAGUAGAGACAUGGUUUCACAAUAUUGGCCAGGUUUGUCUUGGCCACGAUAUUGGCCAGUUCAAGUGAUCUGCCGGCCUCAGCCUCCCAAAGUGUUGAGGUUACAGGCGUGAGCCCUCGCAACACUGUCUUCUUAAAAGCCCCUUCCCAUACCAGUCUUAGGAAAGUGCACUUUCCUCCACCUCCAACUAAGCCCUUGCUCGGCUUCAUUUUUCUUGCACAGCAUUUAAUAAUCUGACAUAUUUUAUACUUAUUUGUUCAAUCGUCCAUCAUCCGCUCCCUCUCCCCCUGCCACCCCCGUAACAUAAACUCUAAGAGAUCAGGGAUCUUGUAUGUUUUGCUCAUUGUUAUUUCCUCAAGACCUUGAACUAAGCCUGUUAUGUAGGUGUAAGUAUUUCAAUAAAUAUUUAAUUACAUCAAUUUAAAUAAUUUCAUUUGAUUUGGGCUACUUACCAUAUGUCACUUUACACUGUACUUUAUCGUGUGAGUUUUGUGUUUUCACACUGAAUUUGAAGCAAUGUAAGGCCGACACCUAUGGUUUAUCUGUGUAUGUGACCUCCCCGCCAGCACCUACUACUAUAUUGUACUUAGCACAAUGUCCUAUAUUGAAGAGGCACUCAGGAAAUAGUUGUUGAUUUUAAUCAUCCUUCCAGACAAGGGAGCCAAGAGAUGUUACAAAGUCAGGCUGGACUUAUUGUCAGGAGGCACAGUCUUACCCUUUAGAAGUCACGGUGACAGGGCCAUUUCAUAAUGGCUUUGUUUUAUAAAGGUACUAUUCAAAUCUCAAGUGUGAAGAGCAACCAUGAAGUUGGUUUAUCAGUGUUCAUUGGCAUGAAAUUGCAAAAAAAAAAAAAAGUCCAAUUAGUUUAUUAAAUUCUUAAUGGUGUCCCAAAUAAUGUUGUCACCAAAGAAAGAGAGGUUGUUUCUAUAGGAAAUACUUCACCAUCAAAUUUCUCUCUCUCUCUCUUUCUCUCUCUCUGUCUCUCGUGUGUGUGUGUGCAGCCUCGCUUUACCCAUGGUAUAGAGUUCAAUUUUUCUUGUUGACUGAUUAAUUAAACUUUAAACACUUUUUGCUGUGGGUUUAAUCAGCCAUGCAGUCAGCCCAGUUCAGGCAUUGACGAGUGCUGGGUGGUUCCUAUUAGCUCUAGUUGUAACGAAGCAUCCAGGUGCAGCAGCAGAAGGAAUUCAGGGACCAGCUUUUUUCAAGGACUAAUCCAGACUCCAAAUUGUCAUGUUUCUUCAGAGAGAGCCAAAAGGUACAAUUUUGCAUGAAAUUUUCAAGGCAUGAACAAGAAACUGUUAACAAACUUUCAACCAGUAAUCUCCAGUGACUUAAACCUAAGGUAGCUAGAUUUGUAGCUAUUUGAAAUUUUAUUUAAAAGUUUUUCGGUGUUUUGAUUGUUUGUAAGACAUUGAAAAACUCCAUAAAUCAACAAAAACUGAAACUUAACCCUCCAUACUAUUAAUUACAUAUUGCAGUAGACAUUUUCCUUUCUUUCCCCUGUGUCCAUUGCUGUUUCCCUUGAUUGACAACACCUUGGUUUCAAUUGUCUUAUGAAGUGGAUCCCCCUCCUUACUUUUGAUCCACAGGAUUCAGGAGAAGUCAACCCACACCAACCACCUAAUGAGCAUGCCACGCAAGCCCCAAAGCUUUUUUGGAGCACGUCAUCCCCCUGGCCCCAAGGAGUGGUCCAGGGAUGGGUUCCUGAGCCAAUUCUGAAAAAUAAGACUUGCAGAAUUUCCUGGGAACCACCAGGAGAAAGCAGUACUUCCUUUCCUGCUGGUUCUCAAUCUGGGGGACCACACCUCCAUGCGGAGAGAAUCUUUUGUAAAUGAAGCCGGCACAGAGGAAAGUGGGUUGACUUCUGAAUCCAGCCACACUUGAGAUCUAUCCUCACACUAUUCAGUUAGAAGACCCAAUGAAGUCCCUCUUGAUGCUAAUUUGAGUUGGGCUUUCUGUACUCUGAAUGAAAGCAGUCCUGAUUAUUAUAUAAACGAUAUCCCUCCCCCUCGAUGUGUCCCAGUAAUUCAGAGUUCCCUUUUGGGGGCAGUUAAAAACUCAAGAACGAAUGUCCAUCACAUCUUCAUUUGAAAACUGCCCUGUGUUCCCGUAAAGAAUUACAAGAAAGAAUUUUACAGCAAGGAUUCGUUAGUAUAAUUUGCUACAGCUUUUCAUUAGCGGGAACCUACUCUAAAUUAGUAUCAUCAUUAAAUAAACCAUAUGACAAGAGUUAGGUUUCUCCAAACUGUUCUUUUUUCCUCUAAAGAAAUAGCUCAAAUAUCCGCAAGUAUGUUGUCAUUGCUCAUGUAACACUUUAAAUUAUUGCAAAGUCAUUGUUCUUUCAUUUCCUAUGCUCCAAGUGCUGGGUCACUCAGGGACUCCAUGUGAGGGAUUCCAAGAUGACAACUUCAUUAGAGAAGCAGUGCUGUCUGGGCCCCCAGUCCUUAUGCAAACAGGCCCUUCUGAACACGAUUGAGAGUUAGGAACAAUUUUGAGCUCAUUUAUGCCACUUCGAUAUGAUUGAAACUUAAGUGGGCUGGGUAACGCAGGUAAGGACAGGGUGGCCAUCAGCAGUUUUGUCUUCAUGGACCCCUCCUAUAAUACUAAACAUUAUCAAUAUUAUGACAAUAACAGACACCAGGGACUCCAAAGAGGGAGAGGGUGGGAGGGAGAUGAGUGUUGAAAAGUUACCUAUUGGGUACAAUGUUCACUUCUGGGGUGACGGGUACACUGGCAGCCCAAACCUGAUCAUUAUGCAACAAACCUGCACAGGUACCCUCUGAGUCUACGAUGAUAAAAUAUUUUCAAUAUUAAAAGUUCUUCUUUAUUAUUGUUUUAGACACAGGGUCUCACUCUGUCACCCAGGCCGGAAUGCAGCGGCAUAAUUGUAACUCACUGCAGCCUCCAUCUCCUGGCUCAAGCGAUCCUCCCAUCUGAGCCUGCUGAGUAUUGGGAUUGCAGGCAAAAUUUAUUACACUUUGAUGGGCCCUACAAAAGUAAAGCAUUUUCUUUGACUGUGAAUGUUCCUUUUAUCCCUCUGAUUCUAAAAUAAAGUAAAACAUUUCUGAAAGUUUCCUGAGCCUACAGUGCUUAAUGGAGCCAGGGACCCUGAGUGGAGGCAUCUAUGGACCUCUUGUUUUGCUUUGCUUUGUUUCACACAAAAAGAGCUUUUAUCUUUCAUCGGAGGUUUAAUUUUAAACGCCGAUCUUGGGAAACUGUUUAGUGACCUGGGAAAGUUACUUAAAGUCUCUGGGCCUGUUUCCUCAUAUGUAAAUUGAGCAUAAUAAUAAUCCCUACCUCACAGGGUUACAGCAAGGAUUAAAUGACUCAAUUCAAGUAAUGUGCUUAGAAGAGUCUGGCAUACAUAGCAAAUCACUCAAUAAAUAC
rnacentral:lncRNA from 10 species